CUGGCCUUAAAUUUAAAAUUCAGUCAAGUUUCUGUGCGCUUCUUACAUUUUCAUGUUCUUCUUCGUUUGCAGGUUCUGAAAAAUUUUGCUCAGACCUAGCGUUUUCUUCAUGUUUCCAAGCUUUUUAAGAGUUUAUUCACUGAAAAAGAUUUUGUGAAGAAUAGACAAACUUGAAAUGCUAGACCAAAAUCACAGAAUUGGGUAAAUUCUAUAAAUUUGAAUAAAAUAUUUUUGCCUGAAAUCAACAAUUUCCUAGUCCUGUUUCCAGAGCUGCUGACUUGGUGAAUAUUCCCUUUAAUAUAGUAUAAAUUUCUUGGGUGGGAAAAUAUAAUUUUGUAUAAAAUCAGAAGCUAGAUAUGAGCUGGAAGUAAUAAAGUACAUUUUAAGAUUUCCUUCAAUGUGUAAAUCUCGGGAAAAUAAUUGAUAAAUCCUAACAUAUAAUCUCUUUGUGAAUAUUCCAGGAAGAAGACCCCUCUCCGGAAAAUGUUUGCAUUUAAUGAUUGCAAACCACGUCAGUUUUUGUAGGUCAUCAUCAGAAGAGAACUCGUCUGACUCGGAUAUAACAAUGGAUGGUAAUGACCUGCUACAGGCAGAGACCUUUGUUGAGCGUCUUGAGCCAAGCUGUAUUCUAAUCCUGAUUAUAACUGGCAAAAUUAUAAUGAACAUCUUUAUUUUCGGAGCAAAACUAAGAAGCGUCAGUCCGAGUUUCAUGGGAUAUUUUUGUCUGUCCCUAGCCUUGACCGAUUUUGCUCUUUUGUUUUCAGUCUCCAGCAUUCAUUAUUUUCAGGAUUUUGCGAUAUGGGGAGUUAGGUUCACAACUUACCAUAUAUGUCUGCUGACGCAGAUUAUAUCCCACACAUAUGGUAUCUUACACUAUCCUGUUUUUGUAGCAAGUGGACUGGAUUAUUACUUGACUAUUGUAAAGUCUGUACAUCUUUCAAGGUUUUGCAGUGGAUUUCUAUAUUCUGCAGUUGUUCUGCUCCUGUGGACUUUGGCUUUUUUGUAUACCCUCAAUAUCCCGGCUGGCUCGGCAGAAUGGAAUGCUGGAGUAAUAUCCCACCAAUGCACUUUUUACAUCAGCAGACAAAGUUUUUAUCUAUCAGCUGCCAUAGUCGUUACAGUUUUCAUGGUUCUUGUAAUCUGCUGUUUUGAGGUUGUGGCAUUAAUAAGAACAAUGAAACUAACUUCCUAUGGUGAUAAAACUGUGAUUCUGUUUUCAUAUGGAAAUGAGUGGCCAAUACGAAGCACUAGAUGUCUCCUGACUUCUCUUCUAUUUUCAUUUCUGGGGACGUGGGCGCCAUUUGUUCUCAUUCAAAUAAUCAUUUUUUUCUCAUGUGCCCAUAUCCCGGGAUACAUGGAUAUGAAUGUUGCAUGGCUGUAUUUCAUGAACAGCUUUCUAGUGGGAGUAUCUUAUAGUCUUGAGUAUCCCAAUAUUCCAAUAAUAGAUCGGAUGUUUAAUGUGGAUCCAUUUAUAGACUGGAAAUACAUUUUUUUUCCAUUUUAUACAGAGGACAGCCAAAAAACUGCAUUAAAGGAAAUGCCUCUGGAAGUUGUGAUUUAAUAAUAAAAAAUAUAUAUAUAUAUAUAUUUUAUGUGUAUUUUUCUUGCAUACUUGCACAUUUUGAAAAGCUUUUUUUUUUGUUUUUGUUUUGUUUUUCUAACUUGACCUUGUUACUAAGAGCCAUAAUUAUACCGGUUUUAGUGGUUUUCCUGGACCAAAGUCUAUCUAAAUUUUCAUUAAUUUAUGAACAAGUAGGAAAAAGCUGUCCUUGAUAUAAAUGUCUUCUAUAGACCCUUAUUUGUAGUUAUUGGAGAAUAUACAUUAAUGCAGUGACAUUGACUGUUCUGUCAGCACUUGUAAUAUAAAUUAAACCCCUUCAACUUGAUCCAAUGCAGAUUCUGUCAUUUUUGUAUUUUUGCUAAAUUUCAUAUUGAAAUAAAAAAAUAAACAUUGCAGUGAGGUGGC
rnacentral:lncRNA from 1 species